rnacentral:lncRNA from 1 species
AGUUGUUGUCUGUUAAUGGUUAAAUAGUUAACUAUGAUCAUCCCUGAUUUAAAAGAAUGUUUUUGAACUGUUUUAAAGAUGUUUUUUCUCUUUUCUAGCAAUGAAUGUUUAAACGUUUUGAUGGAUCGCAACAAGCUUUGGAUCUGAACAGUAUUCACACAGACACAGUUUACAUACCAGUGCUGUGUGCCAGAAGGUUCCUCAGCUUCUGAAGUUGGAUGGAAAUGACCUCCCCCCACCUAUUGGCUUUGAUGUGGACACACCCACCACUCUCCCACCUUGUAAGUUUGUGCAUCAUCAACGACCAGCUCUUCAUCAGAAUGGCUACAACGGAGCAGAUCAGCAGAGCUUUUGUGCCCCGCCCCCUUCCUCCAGCCCAGUGCCCACCCUCACUGCCCCACAGCAGGAGAUGCUCAGCACCUUCUCCCUGAAGUCAGACAUGAACCUGGAAUGGUCCCUGAAGUGUCUGCAGGACAACAAGUGGGACUUGAACAAAGCAAAACUGUUUUCCAAAUAUUUUCACUAAAAUCAGAGUUAAUAACUUUUAAAAUAUAAUUUAUUUUCAAAGGAAGAAGAAAAACAUUAUGGUCUGCUUAAAUAAUUUAUUUCUCUUUUUUAAUAAACACUUUUUUUCAGAAUCA